ensembl:lncRNA
CAUUCUGUCAGCAUAGGUACAUGUUUUCUCCGUACAGCUCAUACUCCUGUUAGCAAAAAUAAUGAAUGUGCUAAUUUUUUUGUCAGUUACUAAAGAAACGCGUCAGAAUUGGAGGAUAGUCAGGUAUUAUCCUGGACCACGUGAGGCAAUAUGGAACGGUGAGAAUUUGAUUCCAGCAUCAGCACCUCCUUCCAUCCUCAGUCAAAGGAAAGAGUUUCAACCCCUCAUCUUCUGUCCCGCUGAACUGGUAAUAAUUUGGGGACCUUGGGUGCAACCCUUCAGGACGCCGAGUACCCCAAUGGGUGCUUACAUUGGCAGCAGACAGCUUGUGAUACUUCUCAGAACUGGACACUUCAUUAGCUAAAAUUAAAAACAUAAAACACUUUAAAAACACCUCUCAAAAACAUUUUUCUUUGCGUAAGAAGGAUUUUUACCCCUUUCUAUAAAAAUAGCAACUGAAGAAGUAUCUGCUAGCUGCUGUGACGUUUGCUACCAACCUAGCUGUGCACAACAUUUCUGGUAUGUUCUUUCUGGCUAUUAAAACCUCAUUAAAAAAAUUAAAGUCUCCACAACUUACAAUAUUUUCCAUUGAAAUAGCAUGUUAACACAUUUCUUUAAUCAGUGUGUAACUGUCAAGGGAAAGAACAAUUCAUCUAGUAUAUGCAUACAUUAGAAAAAAAUUAUCAGAUUUAAUUUUAUUUGUUUUAUAUUCAGGGCUUUUUUGAAGGAAUUCCUGCAGGGAAAUGGUUAAUCUAUUUUUAACUAAAGCUUACUUUUGUAAUCUAUCCAGUGCUUAGAGUUCUGUCAUUGAUCUAUGAUUUAUGUGAUUUAAACCACCUCUUGGCUGUAACAUUGGUUUCUAUCCAAGAUGCUGAGCUGAAUACUAAUUACGAGAUCAAAUUUAUGCUGUUGGGCUAAGCAGCUGAAGGAGCUUUCCAUGCAGGACUCCCUUAAACCAUGCCACCGUUAAGCACUAGUGAAAUAUUGAGGGGGGAGGGGAAAAAUACUGGAAGAGAAAAAAAUAUUACAGGAAAAGUGUCCUUUGAAUGCUUUAUUUUCAGUUCAGUUGAAUGACUGUACAGAGCUAUAUGCAGAUAUUCAGCGUGUAUAAGACUGUGAAUAUGCACGUGGUUUGGUAUUUCCAGCAGAACCUCACUAAUUCACCCCAACGAUUGGGGAACCCAGUGAGAAAAGCCAAACAGCAUGAGUAAGCAAAUGAAUAAACAGGACUGAGGAUAUUUUAUUUCAAACCAUAUUUUAUGCCUUUAUUUUGACAAGUAUCAUGUUGUCAGAAUGAUUUAUGUGAUUUCAUAGCAUAUCAGUAAAUGCACUGCGGUAUGUUUUCUUACAGUAAGGAGGUCUCAGUAGCAAUAGCUUCGCUUUACCUCUGCUUAUAGUAUCUUGGCUGAGAAAUAAGGCAAUUUUAUAGAAAAUAUAGAUCUUAGGGUUUCCUUCCGUCAGGAGGAGUAGCGCUGUGCUGCUCGCUGCAUCACCUUGGCAGGGGAGGUCGUGGUGGCAGCAAUAUCCUGAGUGCUGGCAGUCACAACAUGUUCAAACAGCUCAGUGCAGUGUGAAUGGAAAUGGAGUUUUCCGUAGGAAUACUGUUGGUCGCUCCGCUUUGAGACACAGCGCGUUCCAGCGACUCAUUUGACUUUCAUCCUUGCUGGUGUAAUGCUGAACUGUUUGGUUUUGAGGAUGCUGAUAUGUUUUAAUUUGCUCAGGCUCCUACUUUGCGUUUGUGGCGUGGUUCUCAUGUUUGUUACAUGCUUUGCUUUAUGUUUUGUUACGUUUGGAUUGUUUUAAUGCCCUCAGACUACAACACAGCGCGUCAUUAAAAUGGAACAUUUUGAUAACGUGUCCUCACCACUUCAGUUUUACAAGAACCCUUUAAGAUCCCAUUUCCCUCCUGCACAAAGGGACUGUCGGAAUACAGGAAUUUCUCACAGAACAGAAAUUCCGGGUUGCUGCUCUUUAUCCCUUCCUUUUCACUUCUGAGGGGUGAACUGCUGCGCCCUCAGGGCUCUGGAGGUGGCCGACAGAGCGAUGUGUGGAUGCAGGUGAUGCUCAGAGGAGAAGGCUUCGGAUCCUCUUUUGUUUUCCCUCUGACAUCUGCCUGCCCCUGUGGAGGGCUGUUCCCAGACCCCUUCUCCCCGCUGUGAGGCUGCAGGGCCCCCCCUGCUGCCACGCCGCAAUUUUAUAUCACUGCUUCGGUGGUUUAAAGCCAUUCGCACUCUGCCUCCAUGUGAAGUCAUUGCCUUGAACCCUGUUCAAGUGGCUGCGUGCAGAGGUUACGGCGCUGUGCCGCAGCCAGCAGGCCGCCAUGCUUGGGCUGUAGGAGGCCCUUUAGUGAGGAAUUAGUUCUCUUUUAUCCUCAUCCUUGCUCACUUUCAAAACAAUACCCAAAACAAACAAACAAAAAACAACCAAAAAACCCAAAACAAACGACAAAAAAAAACCACAACAGGAACAAGUAAACAGAAAACCUUGAAAAACUUUCUUCCAAGAGCACUUUUGGAUUAAUGCUUCCCUGUUGCCUAUCUGCUGCUCGCUGUCUCCUUAUUUCUCUCAAGGUGGAGAAAAUCCUAUUUUAGCUAGAUUUUUUAGCUGGAUGCACUCAGUGGUGGAUUGCCCUACUGUCUUACAUCUGCAAAAUGGAGGCCAUGAGAAACAAUCAGAAUGAGCCCAGAAACACCGAAGGUACUGCUCAUUGUGUCUGUAAUUGUAACCGGGUCGUUUUGCAAGCUCCUUGUAGCUGGGGGGUGUGAAUUUGCACUACCAUCAGAGGAAGUGUUGAUCUCGAGUGAGAGUGGAUAAAACAACAUGAGGGAAGAUGAGUCUUCAGUUAAUUGCUGUCAUGCUCUGAAGGACUUCAAAGGAAUGUGCUACUGAAAGACUUAUUAAAGAGUUUGGAUAUCUUACUACACUGGGCACCAUCACUACAGUGAUCAUGGCUGGCUCCUGCACAUCUCCCUUGUGCUUCCAGGCACACAAGUCCACAGCCAUGUUCCCUUCCACUGUGUAAAGCACCCUCAGGAGAGCUCCACGAUAGCCUUGUUAAGGUCACUUUUCUCAGGUUGAGAAGAGGAAUACAGCUGCAAUUAUUUUUGGGAUUCUCAUGCUAGGUCUGCUGCAUGCAUGCAUGUGUGCUGGGGUGUGUCUGCUGACUGCUGCAUGAAAGUCUUCUGCUGAUAUCAAAUGUCCCACAGCUCCAUCCGUCCUCUAUUCAACCUAUAAUCAUAGAAUCAUAGAAUUGCUCAGGUUGGAAAAGAUCUUAACGAUCAUCAAGUCCAACUAACCUAUAAUCCUACAGAUCAGGCUUGAAGUCCAGAUUUUCAGAAUAUUUCUCUAUCCCUGAUUAAGAGAAGUUUACUAACCCCACAGAUGUAAAACUGUUGAGGAAUAAAAGGUUUGAAGUGAACCCAGAUGAGUCAACAUGCAAAAAGUAAAAGACCUACCAUAUAAAUCAAUUGUUUUGUCCUUGGGAAGGCGGUUAUCAACAACAAAAAGAUAUGUCUUCUUGAAGUUAAGCACUAGUUCUAGCACAUAGAAACAAUGGGGAAAUACAAGUUACAAACAGCAAUGCAAGACUUGGAGUGCCCUUCUUAUGGAAGAACCAGCUCCAUUAGGCCUAAUGCACUGCUUGAUUUUAAUAUGGAUCGAAGUCAGCAUAUGAUACAUAAAUAAGCACAGAGCUUUGUAAUUUAUGCAGAUCAGCGAGAAUUAAUAAAACUUAGGGUUAGCUGUUUAAUAAAACUGAGCAGGCAAAGUGUGUGUAGCUAUCUGUAGAGUGGCUGACAUGAUGAACAGAGAUGGAUCCAAGCUCAUCUGAAGCUCUUGAGGAAUAAUAACAGCAUAAAGUCAUUUCUCAAGGAUACUUAAACAUGCCUGAAAUGUAACUGUGUAUAGAAGGUUGCAUAUUAUGCCGAGAGUGACAAGUAUUUACAGUUGGAAGGUCUCUGUGUUGGCUUUAUCACCUUUUAUUCAACUUUUCUUGGUUCUUUAAUUUUUUUUGACUAAAAGACCUAUCCAGAGACUAAAAAGAAGAAAGCUGGUUCCUGUAAUUUUAUUGCAGGUCUGUGAAUAACCUCUUACCUCAAGAAAAACAGCAGUCUGAUACUACACAGGUGAUUUUCUCCUGGAGUAGUAAGUGCCCUCAUUGAAGAGCAGCUGGUGGGAGGUGUGCCUGGUGGUGGUGUGAGCAUGGCAGCUGAGUUAAAAUGUGGCUGUAACUAUACUGAGUUGUUAGAGCACUAGAAACCUAUGUAACUGUAGGGAAGUGGAGAUCUAAAGGAGAGAUGCCUGUUCUGGUGAGCUUCUGUCUUCCAGUUGUCCUUGGGUCUUUGCACUGUUGCAGUCUUGCUCAAAAGCAGGAAAAUGGAAAAUGAUGGUCAGUAUGGGAUGCAUGUUUUCCCUGAGCUUGUUGUUUCUAUUUAUGGCUUUAUCAGAGCAUAUCUGAGAUUUCCAUUAAAGGUUUUUCUAAAAGUGUGACAAAUGCAAUCUUGAGUAUGAGAGGGGGAAAACUUUUGUGCAGUAUGCAUGUAGAUUUGCAAGAUAUCAAGGUCUUUGGUUUUCCUUAACCCUUGCUAACCUACCGCAGCAUUCUGUUCUUUGAAUACUGGUGUUAAUCCUCCUGGGUCUACAAGAGCCUUUGAGACAGAGCUAAUUUUUUUAGUGCUGACUAUAGAGGCUUGUGAUUGCAGAUCUGAAUGUCCCUUUUUCAACUCUGCUACCAGUGACCCACUGCAUAGUAAGUGUCUUGCAUUAUAAAGUGGUUAUUCACAGCGGGUUUUGACCAAUGCUAUCUGUAGGGUGGGAGAUGGCUUCUUGGCAGUGGGAUACAAGCCUCAUGGGGCAGAUCUUCAGCCAGUAUACAUCCUGCUUGGUCCUGCAGAUCAAUGGACUUCUGUUAAUUCAUCUGGAACAUUUGUGGCCCCAGCGAGAUCACACUGAACUUUGUUCUUGACAGAGCGCAAUACUUUGCUGUCAAGAUGGAAAAAUCCUUCUUUCUGCAAUUCCCUUGAAUUUUGAUUCUUCUGUAUGUCCUUUACUCUGUUAUAUACCAAAAGUUACAAUAUUCUCCACGAAACCUUUGAGAGAUGGUCUGUGUGAUCUUCCUUUUGCUUUUAUUAGGUUAUUGUAUUUCCAUACAUGUAGGAAUACCAAGCCCUGAAAGCUCACCUGGAUUCUCUGCUCAUGUGCCGCAUUCAUUUUGUGCUGAGAUUAAACUGGGCUGAUUCUGGCAUGCCCAUCAUUACUGUAGCAACCAUUCAGGACUUUAUUUGCUUAUUUUUGAAGAGCUUCUGUCUUUUAUUUCUAACACAAUUGCACUGAAAUCUUGAGGAAUGUCUCCCAGCUGAUUGUCCUCUAACGGCCACGUUUGCAGGACAGUCUACAGUGCUGCUUUGUCUGUGCUGCUGUGCUGCAGGCAAGUUUAUCCUCUAUUUAGUGGUGGUGAACUGAAAGUUGGAAUUGCCUUGUGCUUGAACUAAUCCUGUUUGCAGGGACUGGCAGUGCUUCCUUGGGUCAGUGCAAUGCAGCUGAGCAUGCUCCAGGUGGUGCAGCCUUCCUCUGCUCUGUGCUUGUGAGCAAGGCAUUUGGAAAGACGACUCGUGUGCAAGCACAGUUUGAGGCUGCAAGGUGGCCCUUGGGUACCUCAGUCAAUUUUUGUGUUUAUGUGCUGUUUUUCUCAUUAAAUUUCUAACUUGUGAUUUUCUUCCCCUGGUUACCUUACGCAAAUCCAUGUGAAAAAUGGACUGUUCAGGAGGAAAUGUAGAUUCUGAUGGCACACCAAAUGCCACCCAAUGCAGAAGACAGUGAGCGGACGGACGUUUAGUAUUUCCAUGUCCCUCCAUUCUGGUCUCAUCUGUUCAUAACAACACGUUAUGUAAAGUAGUAACAGACACAGAAAACAGCAGACAUGAUUGGCUUUAGGAAGUUGACUUUUCAGCGUGUGGGUGAAUUUUGCCAUUGAAAAGCUCUGUCGCUGUUCAUGCAAAGAACUUACAAGUGAUAAAUUCACAGAGUUAAAAGUUGAAUAUGCAUUGUGAGCAUGUCACAGUCACCAGCGGCAUGUAUUAUAAACAGUUACAAGUUUAUUGAUUCAAAAAAAAAAAAAAAAAAUGUUGUGGGUGGCUGAUGAUAAAAAAUCUGUUCCUCCAUUGGAAAACAUGUCUGAAAAAAGCUGCUGUUUUUCCAGGGUUGAGUUUUGUUGCAUUUAUUGCCCUCUUGUAGAAAACCAGGGAGGGGCCAACCUCCUUCAAACAUGCAGCAGUGCAGCAUUUGGGUGUUGCCUUGGUCUGCCCUGGUCUCACUCUUGGGUUCCUGCUUUGGAUUGGAUCAAGAAUGUGGAAACUGGGAUCUGUUUUGAGCAAUAGGCAUGUCAGAUAGAAAAACCUGUAGUUAUUUGAGGGUCAGCAGAGUACUAAGGGCCAACAGCUUUAGCUGUAGGCACAUCACUGCUCCUUUCCCAAAGAUGACUUCAGAGUACGCAUUAUGCUCUCUAGGUCUUCCUCCUUGUCCCAAGCAAGAAGCCUUAGCUUCAAGUCAAUGCCAACCCUGCUGUCCCUCCUGCUUUACCUUAUAUUAUCCAUUUCCCAUGUCAGUGCUGUUUUGACCUUUUCCAGCAGAAGGUGUGAUAAUCCUGUUUGAUGGGGGAAGUAACGGAAGCUCACGUUCUCCUUACUCAGCCCAUGGGUGACCUGCACAAGGUGCAUUCUAAAAAUAGAGGUUGUAGUGCUCUAUGGCAGUCACUCCUCUAGGUCAGUGAAUGCAGCUUCUUGAAACCAGCAGGCUAUGCUGUAUAUUCAGGCUUCACAGAUUCCAUUAACAUUUUGUUAAUGAAAUAGUGCUUUGUCAAAGAGUCUUGAAAACUUAAAAGGGUAUUUAAGCUUCUUCCAUGAGUCAAUACCAUAUAAUGUCAACAUUGCCACGAAGGAAUAAUUCAGAGAUGUCACACAAAGCAUGUGUUAUGCCAUUUGCAGUCUAGCAAAACAGCUCAGCAUUUAUGUUGUUUAAUCCAUCUUCAAAAAUCUUUUGUUCUGAAAAAGUUUGAGAUCAAUUUUGCCAGUAUUUACUGACACAGAGCUGAUGUAAGUCACUGUGCUCUUACUGACUUCAUCUGAGUUGUAAUGAUUUAUCCCAGCCUUGAAUUAAGUCCAAAUUAGGCACGUGAAGAACCUGAUCUCAAACUUCUGAGGAAUAUGGAGUUGACCAGCUCCCAUCCUGUAGAGGGAAAUGUG